GAUGAAGAACGCAGCGAAAUGCGAUAAGUAAUGUGAAUUGCAGAAUUCCGUGAAUCAUCGAAUCUUUGAACGCACAUUGCGCCCCCUGGUAUUCCGGGGGGCAUGCCUGUCCGAGCGUCAUUGCAACCCUCAAGCGCGGCUUGUGUGUUGGGCUUCGUCCCCCCGUGGACGUGCCCGAAAGGCAGUGGCGGCGUCCCGAAUGGUGCCCGAGCGUAUGGGAACUCUCUUCCGCUCGAACCGGCCCAUUCGGCGCUGGUCGAACCCCAAUUUUUUUUUACAGGUUGACCUCGGAUCAGGUAGGGAUACCCGCUGAACUUAAGCAUAUCAAUAAGCGGAGGA
rnacentral:misc_RNA from 1 species